rnacentral:rRNA from 1 species
ACGGGUGAGUAAUGUCUGGGGAUCUGCCCGAUAGAGGGGGAUAACCACUGGAAACGGUGGCUAAUACCGCAUAACGUCGCAAGACCAAAGAGGGGGACCUUCGGGCCUCUCACUAUCGGAUGAACCCAGAUGGGAUUAGCUAGUAGGCGGGGUAACGGCCCACCUAGGCGACGAUCCCUAGCUGGUCUGAGAGGAUGACCAGCCACACUGGAACUGAGACACGGUCCAGACUCCUACGGGAGGCAGCAGUGGGGAAUAUUGCACAAUGGGCGCAAGCCUGAUGCAGCCAUGCCGCGUGUAUGAAGAAGGCCUUCGGGUUGUAAAGUACUUUCAGCGGGGAGGAAGGCAACAAGGUUAAUAACCUUGUUGAUUGACGUUACCCGCAGAAGAAGCACCGGCUAACUCCGUGCCAGCAGCCGCGGUAAUACGGAGGGUGCAAGCGUUAAUCGGAAUUACUGGGCGUAAAGCGCACGCAGGCGGUCUGUUAAGUCAGAUGUGAAAUCCCCGGGCUUAACCUGGGAACUGCAUUUGAAACUGGCAGGCUUGAGUCUCGUAGAGGGGGGUAGAAUUCCAGGUGU